rnacentral:lncRNA from 1 species
CAUACCGAAUAUAAAAAAAACACUCAAUAACUUAUUACAAUUCUCUAAUAAAAAAUGUGGAUGAUCAACAAGUUUUUCUUCCUUCUUCCAGUUGCAUGCAUGGCCGUGUUGGGUACAGCUCAAACGUUGCCUUCGCAGCCUAUACCUGGACAGGACCCAAUAGAUUGUAUGUCAUCCCUGUAUGCUAUUCCGAACUGUCUCCAAGAAAUUGCCCAACCGUUUGUGAACGGAGAAUUCGGGACUAUCGGUCACUCUUGUUGUCAUGCCUUUUUGGGUCUCAGUGCAGAUUGUAUUACUGAGAGGUUUGCCUUAUUUCCCGAAUUUCCUCCGACUCUAAGGGAUCAUUGUUCCAGCCAAUGAUGAUAAUACCAAUUAAUGCCAUUUUCCUUUCGAGUCUUUGUUUCAAGGGGGUUUAUUAUUAUCCUACAUGUUCUAGGUCAUAAAAAUGUGCUAUCAAACAAUGUUAUGUUUCUGCUUUAAUAACAAGUUUUAACUUCAAUAUUUCAUGCUGAUGUAAACAUCUUGCGGAUAACUAAAUAAUAAUAAGGAUAAUUUCAUAUCUAUGUACUUUGGUUCAAAACCUCGUGAUAAUAAGAGCAAGUUUGGUGCCUCACAAAGCAUAUGUGUUCUCCUUUGGCUUUGAUUGGUCACGUUAAUACCACGCUUUGUGUUACUAUCUUGUACACGAAAUAUCUUUCGUGUGUGCAAGAGUAAAUAAUAGACUUAUAAGUAUAUUAUCUUGGUCUUUUGCAUUGAGUUGGUCUGAUUCAAAAGGUGGGGGUACAACAUUUACAGAUGAAGGUGAAAAGGCCUCUCUAUACCCUAAAGAAGGCUCUCGAAAAUGUUCCUCCUCCUAGAGACUUCAAAAUACUAAUGGUCAUCUGAACGUAGCUCCCUUUUUUUGGGUCAAAAUGUGAAUUCAUUUCAUAGAAAUGGCACUGAGAUACAAUAAACUUGAAUUCUUAAAUAGCCCUUUAAUUUGCUUAGCAUAGCUCCCUUUUGAUUUUCUUUUUCUGUUGGUAGGUUCUAGACUUCUAGUCGGUUAAUCUCUUAUUAAACAAACGAUCAGGGGAAAGGAAUCAGAUCUCGUUUUGGAAAAGAUGUCUCAGGAUGAGUUUUAUGUAGAACCAUUGUGUACAGAAAAGCUUCAUUGUCUCCCUUUCUUUUUUUAAAUGCCGCUCAAGCCAACAGAGACUAGUGUCCUUUAUGUCCAGCUAUUUUUUUGCCUUUCAUACUUAUACAUUGCAGAAAUGUAUAUUGUUCUGACGUUUUGAUCAAUUUUCCAACAGUGCAUCCUGGACAAAUCAUUGACUACGAUAAAUUGGUUCAUAAUUUAGAACUGAGUCCAUAAACCGAGUUCAAAUAACUAAGUAGACUUAAUAACAUCAAAGAUCACUCGUUUGGAGAGAGACCAACGAAUAUCAACCUUGAAGUUUUAUUACUGACUCUUGGAAGUUAGAAGAGAGAUACAUAUACGUCUAUUUACUUAAACAAUAAAAACACACAUGGAGUAGAUCAUUAGUGUCAGUUUUUUUUCCACAUUCUAUGUUUUUGAUCGACUAACACUACUCAGAAUUUUACCUUGAUUCAUAAUGCAUCAAACAAGUUCAAGAACUAGUGUAUCAGUAAAAAAAAGUUCAAGAACUAGCGUAGAUCGAUCAAACAGUUUAAGCAAAAUUAAUAUUAUUGCAGAUCAAUUGCUGUUAUUCUAGAACAAAUAGUACAAUACCAUCGUUUCAUAAUAUAUGAUAUUUUAGAAGGUUUUUGGUGAAAAUAUAAGAUAUUGAGAUGUUUUAAGAUUUAUUUGUUAACUUUACUAGAAACUGUUUUACCAAUUAAAAUUUUUCAAUUUUUUAUGAUUAGUUGAAUUACUUUUAAUUUAUAUUUUUAGUAAGGUAUUGUAGAGAGUGUUUCAAAAAAAAAAGGUAAGGUAUUGUAGAGAAAAGUAAUUUCCUAAUGUUCGUGUGUUUAAGCAUAACAUUCUACAUUACGAAACUUAGGGAGUAUUAAUUUCUAUCACACUAAUAAACCAUACAGAAUAAUAUUUGGAUAGUAAUCGCAAGAACAUAAAACCCCGUUAUAGCCUAACGAAUCGUACGUAGAAGAAUAAGAGACCGAAUAGUAAACUAUCAGGAGGAACCACCAAUAAUACGAAACAAACUGUAUUAACCUUUAUUUGGGGUCAUUCCAAGAGUGCCUACGUUAAUUGACAAAGAAACCGUUCACACAAAUGCAAUGUAAUAAAAUUUCACAUUUGAUUCUUGUCCUAUAUAAUAUCCAAUCACUGACUACUAUUAAAUCCAUACCAAAGUUUUUUUUUUAAAUAACUUAUUACGAUUCUCUAAUAAAAAAUGUGGAUGAUCAGCAAGUUUUUCUUCCUUCUUCCAGUUGCAUGCAUGGCCGUGUUGGGUACAGCUCAAACGUUGCCUUCGCAGCCUAUACCUGGACACGACCCAACAGAUUGUAUGUCAUCCCUGUAUGCUAUUCCGAACUGUCUCCAAGAAAUUGUCCAUUCGUUUGUAAACGGAGAAUUCGGGACUAUUGGUCACUCUUGUUGUCAUGCCUUUUUGGGUCUCAGUGCAGAUUGUAUUACUGAGAGGUUUGCCUUCGCUCCCGACUUCCCUCCGACUCUGAGGGAUCAUUGUUCCGGACAAUGAUGAUAAUAACAAUUAAUGCCAUUAUCCUUUCGAGUCUUUGUUUCGAAAUGUGCUAUCAAACAAUGUUAUGUUUCUGCUUAUUAACAACUUUUAACUUCCAAAUAAACACUAUCUUACCAGCUUUAGCCAUAUUUCAUGUUGAUGUAAACAUCUUGCGGAUAACUAGAUAAUAAUAAGGAUAUAUUACAUUACAUGUUAUGGUUUCCGACUUGAAAGUAUUAUGGUCUUGGUCCAAAAACUCGUGAUAAUAUGAAUAAGUUUGGUUCCUCACAAAGCAUAUAUAAGUGUUCUCCUUCGACUUUGAUUGGUCACGUUAAUACCAUACUAUUUGUUACUAUCUUGUACACGAAAUAUCUUUCGGUAUGCAAGGGUAAGUAACAUACUUUAAAUUUUAUGAUGGGAGUUACCUGGAUACAAACUGAGAUAUUAAGACAUCAUACACUACUCAGAAUCUGAGUUACCUGGAUUCAUAUUAAUGCAUUAAACAAGUUCAAGAACUAAUGUAUCAGUUAAAAAAAGCAAGUUCAAGAACUAGUGUAGAUCAAACAGCUAGUUUAAGCAAAAACUAGAUUCUGACCCGCGCUUUCAAAGCGCGGAUUUAUUUUUGUUUUUUUUUUCAAUUGACAAAUAUUUAGUAAAUGUCACAUUUUCAUAUAUUUGUGUUUUAUUUUAUAAAAGACUUAAAAAUUUAUCUUUAUUUAUCGUAUUUCAUUUUAAAUGACUAUUUAUGUUAAAAAAAUUAAACUUUAUUUUUUUAAUGAAUUAAGUUGGUAUAACUCUGAUAAAUUAAUUUUAUUAUGGGGUUAAUAUUUUAAUUAAAAAUUAUAUACUUUUAAUAAAGAUUUAUACUUUUCAAUAAAAAAAUUCAAUUAUUUUUAUGAAUGCUUAAAUUAUAUUAAGAAAAGAAAAAAAUAAUAAUUAAGAAUAGUUGAAAAAAAAUUAUUUGAAAUUGGACUCAAUGGCCCAAAGGAAAAAAAAGUGAGAAUUGAAUCUGAUUUUUUAAUAGGCCCAAAUGGUCCAAGAGAGAUUUGAUUUGGGCUGGAUCCAAAAAUAAUGACCCAAUAUAGAUUUAUUAUUAAUAUUACUUAAUUACCCUUAAUGAAACAUGCAAUGUUAGUGAAAGAAACAUGCCCCUAAGGUAAUUAUGACAAUAGGAUCCUGCUUUAAUAGUAUAGAUGAAUAUUAUUGCAGAUCAAUUGCAGUUGUAGAACAAAUAGUACAAAACCACCAUUUCAUAAUAUAUGAUAUUUUAGAAUGCUUUUGGUGUUUCAAAAUAUAUUGUAUUAAGAUGUUUUGAGAUUUCUAUGUUAACUUUAUUGAAAAACUGUUUUACCAGUUAUAUUUUUCAUUCUUUUUUAUGAAACGUUGAAUUAAUUUUAAUUGUAUUUUUAAUAAGGUUUUUUAGAGAAAAUUAAUUUUUUAAUCUUUGUGUUUAAGUAUUGCAUUCUAUAUUAUGAAAUAUGGGGAGUAUUAAAUUCUAUCACACUAAUAAACCAUACAGAAUAAUAUUUGGAUAGUAAUUGCAAAAACAAGAUGAAGAUUGAGUUGAAGACAUAGCUUCUAUGAGUUUUUUGAAAAACAAACUUAGAUACAAGGCAACAACAAAUGUAAGAAUAUAAAAACUCUAUUGAUUUUAUUUUAAAUGACAUCUUCUCUUAGGCAUGGACUUUCGGGUCCUCUAGUCGGGUUCGGAUAGGGUCUAGUCGGGUCUAGGUUCUUCAGAUCUUAUAUAUUAGGAUUUAAUAGGGUAAUUAAAACUUAUCAAUUCAUGAUCAGUUCGGAUCAUGUCGGAUCCAGACCAUUUGGGUUCCAGUUGUCUAGGAACUGCUAAUACGUACCCACAAUUUUUUGGUUCCUAAAAAUUUUGGUUUCGGAUAUUUAAGACCCGAUUACCCGAAAAGAAUCCAGAACCUCAAAAUACCUGAAAUCCGGAAAAUACCUAAAUUUUAUCCAAAAUCUAACCCGUAGACCAGAAAAAUACCAAAAUUUUAUAUGAUUAUCCGAGUUAUUUUUUCAAAGAUCUAAAAUUUUACCCGAAACCCAAAAUUAUAUUCGAAAAUCCAAAUCCAAAACUUAAAAAAGUAUAUCUAUAAUACCAAAAAUAUACUUAAACGCCCAUAUAUACUAGAAAUUUUGGAUAUUUCAGGUCUCAUGUUGGGUUCGGGUCGAAUCCAAAACCUGUGAAUUCUAUACAACAAAAUCCAAUAGGGUAAAAUAGCAUUACCCGUACCCAACCCGAAUCGGGUUUUUUUUGUCGGUUCCAGUUCGGAUUUGUGGGUCCGGAUAAAAUGUCCAUGUCUAUUCUCCGCUUUUUUUUUGACAUAUCUAUUAUCCGCUUAUGUUCAAAUUUUUAUCAAUACACUCAUUUAUGCUGAUACCGAGAUGGUUAAGGAAGUUAUCACUACUAUAUAAAAGGGGCUAAAUUUGAGCUUCCUAAAGCAUGCCACAUAGGCACAAAUAUUCAGCACCAAUCAAUAUGCCAUGUCAUCCCGGAUUGGGCUAAAAUUAAAAAAAAGUUUGUCACAUUUGCGGCCCAUUUGAUCCAUUAAACCCAUACCAGUCUUGAGCCUCUCUUGAUUUGGUAUUGGUCGAAGCCCAUUAAACCCAGCACCCUCUAUUGCACUUCACCUCCGGCGACUGCUGAUAUUGUUCCGCCGCAGCUUGAGCUUAAUCUUGGCGGCAGGGGAGACGCGUGUUACCAGAUCCCGAUGGCGUGUCCUAUAUAUUAUUUAGACCUUAUGGGAAUCGGAGACGGAAGUCGUGCUGUUCCGCUUCCGAUGUCGUUGGCGUGUAGUUCGCCGGUGAUGCAUGUUGCGGCGAAGAUGGCAUGUGGGGGCUAAAGCGAUUCUGAUUCGUCUUCGGUCGUUGAUGGUGGGAUAGAGAAGACUGCUCAGCUGUUGGAGCUAGACCUAAACUUCCCUCCUCCGUCGGAACAGGCCUGAACUGUUUCAUGUUGGCUGUGUGGUUUCAUCUCGAACGCUCAUGCGUUUUUUUUUGUUUUGGAGCUGAGAGAAUUCGUUUACUUUUCACAGUUUUUCUUCUCUCACACUCUAAAAUAAAGAUCGGUUUUUAAAUGGAGAUAGACAAAAAUAUAAUGAUAGCUGACAUGGAUCGUUAUGUACAUAUUAUUACAUAACCGGAGAUCUGAACUUUUGUUGUGUGUGUUUUUUUGCGACUUGGUUUCAACCAUGUUGUUCCUAUAUGUAGGUUCUUUUUUGUAUUGUUCUUCCAAAUUUCAAUUAAUAAUUUGGCAAUUUUAGAAUUAAGAUGUUCAUGUUAAUAUUCAAGAUUUAAUUAUCACUACUUUAAAGUAUUAUUAUUAUAUAAAUAAAAAAUAUUCAAUUCCAAAAAGGAAUAAUGACUAAAAUUAUUCCAUUUAUGAAGUAUGAUUGGAGUUUACUCCAAAAUGAUGUUUGGAAUAGAAAAUGAAGUAGAGUUGCAGAUUCUCUAACAAUUAGGACAAAAAAAAAUCAUCAACAACUACUUUAUUAGGUAGAAUUCUUCUGUUGUGGGUAAAAAAAAGAUCUCUAACUAUUUCUCAAGCUCAAAUUUAUAGAUCUUUAGGAUAAAGUUACUAAAGAGUGUCAUAUAUUUGUGCUAAUUUUUUUAAAAAAGUUAUAUAACCAUAUAAUCCGCGCGUAGCGCGGACACGAACCUAGUUAUUCGAAUAACAAAUAAAUUUAAGUAAGAUAAGUAAAAUGUCAGGAAAAUUGAUAAUAAUUAGAAGAGAAAAUCAAAUUUGUAACAGUUUUGUGAACUUAAAAAAGAAUCGUACGAAGAAGAAUAAGAGAAUUAAUAGUAAACUAUCAGGAGGAACCACAAUAAUACGAAACAAACUGUGUUAACCUUUAUUUAGGGUCAUCCCAAGAGUGCCUACGUUAAUUGACAAAGAAACCGUUCACAAAAUGAAAUGUAGUGAAAUUUCACAUUGCUUAAAACAUCAAUAACUUAUUACAAUUCUCUUAUCAAAAAUGCGGAUGAUCAACAAGUUUUUAUUCCUUCUGCCAGUUGCAUUCAUGGCCGUGCUCGGUACAGCUCAAACGUUGCCUUCGCAGCCUAUACCUGGACAGGACCCAGCAGAGUGUAUGUCAUCCAUGUUUGUUAUUCCCAACUGUAUCCCAGAAAUUAUCCAAUCGUUAGUAAACGGAGAAAUCGGGACUGUUAGUCAUUCUUGUUGUCAUGCCUUCUUAGGUCUCAGUGCAGAUUGUAUUACUGAGAGGUUUGACUUCACUCCAGAAGACUUCCCUCUGGCUCUAAGAGAUUAUUGUUCCCGACAAUGAUGAUAAAUAACAAUGAAUGCCAUAAUCCUUUCGAGUCUUUGUUUCAAUGGUGUUAUUAUUAUCCUAAGUACAAUGUUAUGUUUCUACCUAAAUAAUAACAACUUUUAACUUACAUAUUCCAUAUUUCAUGUUAAUGUAAACAUCUUACGGAUAACUAAAUCAUAAUAAGGAUAAGUCGACACUAUAAUACUCUUUCUUUUUUAAAUAUUGUACUAGAGCUUGACCCGCGCAUCCGCGCGGAUAUUCAUUUUUGGUUUACAA